ACGAGUUAUUGAACGGGUUGUAAGCUGGCCUCUUCUCAGAGGUAUGUGCACGCCUGGCUCAUCCACUCUUUAACCUCUGUGCACCUAUUGUAGGUUGGUUAGAAGGGCAAUGUCUUGAUCAAUAAAUAUUUUAUUGUUGAUUGAACUUGUUCGGAAGGCCUUCCUAUGUUCUUUUCUACAAACGCCUUAGUUUAAGAAUGUUUUCUGCGUGUAACGCAUCUAUAUA
rnacentral:misc_RNA from 1 species